ensembl:snRNA U1 U1 spliceosomal RNA
AUACUUAGCUGGCAGGGGUGAUAAGAUGAUCCAGAAGGUGGUUUUCCCAGGGCGAGGCUUAUCCAUUUUACUUCGAGGAUGUGCUGACCCCUGUGAUUUUCCCAAAGUGGGAAACUCGAUUUCAUAAUUUGUGGUAGUGGGAGAGUGCAUUUGUGCUCUCCCCUG